CGGAGACAACAAAGGCUCCAAACCUCUUUCAACAUCACCAUAUAUUACUACAGGAGGCAACUAUGCAUUAAAACAAUAUUUUUGUAUUUUUUCAAUUUUUCUCAAAAUUUAUGUGUUAUAACCUCUACAAAAAUAUUGAAUUUAUGUAAAUGCUUUAUAUACAAAACCCUAUAAUCUUUAGUGUUGUUUUAAAAUUUCUAACCACAUUCUACAUUUGUAUUAAUGUAUGUUAAACUCUCUUUCAUGAUGCACGAGCAUCGUUCAGUUUUUCUAUAAAUUAAUUUAGUAAAAUUUCAUAUACUCACUAAAUUGGUGAACUAACCGUUAUAAAAUCGCUAUUCUCUUGAGAAAUGAAGACAACAAAGUUUCCAAACCUCUUUGACCAUCACCUUAUAUUACUACAGGAGGCAACUAUGCAUCAAAACAAUAUUGUUAUAUUUUUUUCAAAAUCUAUUUGUUAACUGAGUUUUACGUUAAACGC
rnacentral:lncRNA from 1 species